rnacentral:rRNA from 1 species
UACGAAGGGGGCUAGCGUUGUUCGGAUUUACUGGGCGUAAAGCGCACGUAGGCGGAUUGUUAAGUCAGAGGUGAAAUCCUGGAGCUCAACUCCAGAACUGCCUUUGAUACUGGCAAUCUCGAGUCCGGAAGAGGUGAGUGGAACUCCUAGUGUAGAGGUGGAAUUCGUAGAUAUUAGGAAGAACACCAGGUGGCGAAGGCGGCUCACUGGUCCGGUACUGACGCUGAG